GAUGAAUGAUGAAUGAUGAUGUUUGAAGAUGAAACGCACCGACUCGACGAAGAUGGUGAAGAGGAAACGGUGACGUUAUGUUCUUGCGAUGGUUGAUGGCGAUGGUUACGUUAUGUUCUUGAAACUAAAAACGAAUCGUUGUCGAGGAAGAAGAGAAUCGGAAGAAGAAAAAGCGAAUCGGAAGCGAAGGUGAAGAGGAGAGAGUGCGAUUUCUGAGCAGAAAGGUGAAGAGGAGGAGGUUUUGGGUUUCCGGUGAGGAGGAAGAUGGUAUGGUUUGCGAGAAUUGUUUUGUCUGGCGCGUUGAUUUUGCGAAAGGAGAAGAGUUGUUGUUUUGC
rnacentral:lncRNA from 1 species